GGUGGUGUGGUGUAAUGGUAGCACGUCAGAUUGUGGCCGACUACAAUCCUCUACAACAGAUCUCUGUCAAUCUGGGUUCGAUUCCCAGCACCGCCA
rfam:Phialocephala subalpina strain TAMH 11012 genome assembly, contig: PAC_scaffold_009